AAAAUGUUGCACUGCUGUUGUAUUAAAGCUUUAUUCCUGCUCGAUUACACCUGGUCUGCUUGCAUGAGGAAACUGUAAUUGAGCCUAAUAGCAUACAUUAUGCAGCUGUUGUAUUAAAGCUUUAUUCCUGCUCGAUUACACCUGGUCUGCUUGCAUGAGGAAACUGUAAUUGAGCCUAAUAGCAUAGCUGACACCUGGAAGGCUGCAUUUUGGCUUUGGUGUUUAGUGGGAGAAGUGAUGGUGUAUUCACAGUGGUUGCUGACUAAUAACUGUUUAAGUAGACUGUACCUCACCGAGCAUGUUUUACUGGCACAGAGUUCACUACACAUAUUAAAAAUAUUCAGUGUGCAUGGUGUGGCUUGACAUAAUUUUGCAAAGCCAAGGAACAGGAUUGGGUCAGUUUAUGCAGUGUAUUCGUGGUAGACUUGUAGCUCUUGUGCAUUUUCUUCUUGAGCUACUUGUUCUUCCCAUUAAGCCAGCAAGAGUUGAAGCUAUUUCACUUGUGCUUGUUGCUCCUGCCAUCUUAUCUUUUAUGGUUCCCGCUUCCAGCUGCUCGAAAUCCAAGAAGCUUUGCUUUAUUUUAAUUGUGCAGCUUUUUUCUU
rnacentral:lncRNA from 1 species